GUGCUCGCUUCGGCAGCACAUGUACUAAAAUUGGGAUGAUACAGAGGUUAGCAUGGCCCCUACCCAAGGAUGACAAACAAAUUCGUGAAUCAUUCCACAUUUUG